rnacentral:rRNA from 1 species
UACGGGGGGGGCAAGCGUUGCUCGGAAUUACUGGGCGUAAAGGGCUCGUAGGCGGUCAACUAAGUCAGACGUGAAAUCCCUCGGCUUAACCGGGGAACUGCGUCUGAUACUGGAUGGCUUGAGUUCGGGAGAGGGAUGCGGAAUUCCAGGUGUAGCGGUGAAAUGCGUAGAUAUCUGGAGGAACACCGGUGGCGAAGGCGGCAUCCUGGACCGAUACUGACGCUGAGGAGCGAAAGCCAGGGGAGCAAACGGG